rnacentral:lncRNA from 1 species
AUGCCUUCUCCUUUACAGCGCGAUGGGCGGAAGCUGGCCACAGCCCUGCCCAACUGCAGCCUCUUCCUGUACUACGCACUGGGCCGGCAAUUUUACGUCAUGGAGAAGCUGGCCGAUCGCUGGUUCCGAGCGCGGGACCGGGUCACCGGGGAGAGCAUGCUGAUGAAAAAGGUGCCCGUGGUCUCCGACUGGAAGAAGAUGUUACACAAUUUCCUGUUCCUGCCCCCUCACCCCACGUUGCUGGUGCCCUACGCCGUCCUGUACGACCGCAGCGGCUCCAUCCUCUACCUCAUGGAGGACAGGGACGUGUGCGGUGAGCGCCCGGCAGGGCACGGGGGGCACCGGGCUGCAGUGGAGAGGUUCCUGCCCUCGGCCCACCAGCAUCCCGUUAAUGGAGGGAAGGCAGGCGAGCGCCGAGAUCCCCAGCACCUGGCCCAGCUCAGGCUGGAGUCGCCUUGGGGAGGCUCUGGCCCGUCUGGCUCUGGAAACAGCUGAGACCCUGGAGCGGCAAGCGGGAGGCUGGGUGCCCAGUGGCUCCCAGAGGCGGGAUAUGGGCUAGUGGGGCCCCUGGGCUCCCAGGAGUGUGGGGCAGGAUCCCAACUGAGAGCCGGUUCUCUGGGCAGCCCCUUUGCUCCCUGGAGCUGGGAGCUGGGGCCACUUGGCCCUGCUGGGACGCGGUGGUCCCCGAGUCUAAACCGUGGGUGCUGGCAGAUCCCUGGUCCCAGAAGAGGGUCGCCCUGGCUGGAGCGACGGGGCAGCCUGGGCCAGCGGGGUCCCGGUCGCUGAUCUGUCUCCUCUGCCCUCCUCAGCGGUGGGGCGGCCGCCCGAGGGGCCCGGCCUGGAGGGAGCUCGAGCCCUGCGGGAGGUGCUGAGCUUCCUGAGCUUCUGCAAACGCCACCACUUCCACCCCGGGGACGUCGGCGCAGCCUCCAUCUACACGGCCCAGGUGGGGCUCGCUCCUCUCCCAGGGCUGCCAGGCCGCCUGUUCUCUGCACAUGGGGCUUCCCGCAGCCCAUCC